AUUAGAGUUUGAUCCCNGNUCAGGAUGAAUCGCAGGCGGCGUGCGUAAUACAUGCAACUCGAGCGGACAGAUGGGAGCUUGCUCCCUGAUGUUAGCGGCGGACGGGUGAGUAACAUGUGGGUAACCUCCCUGUAAGAGUGGGAUAACUCCGGGAAACCGGGGCUAAUACCGGAUGGUUGUUUGAACCGCAUGGUUCAAACAUAAAAGGUGGCUUCGGCUACCACUUACAGACGGACCCGCGCGCAUUAGCUAGUUGGUGAGGUAACGGCUCACCAAGGAAACGAUGCGUAGCCGACCUGAGAGGGUGAUCGGCCACAAUGGGAUCUGAGACACGGCCCAGACUCCUACGGGAGGCAGCAGUAGGGAAUCUUCCGCAAUGGACGAAAGUCUCACGGAGCAACGCCGACGUGAGCGAUGAAGGUUUUCCGGAUCNGUAAAGCUCCUGUUGUUAGGGAAGAAACAAGUAGCCGUUNCGAAUAGGGCGUCACCCUUGAGCGUACCAACCAGAA
rnacentral:rRNA from 1 species